GCUGAAGCAACAAAUGCCCUGCUUCCAGGAAAAGCCUCUAAGCAUCAGGUAACAUCAAAUCGUACCCCAAACCGACACAGGUGGUCAGGUAGAGAAUACCAAGGCGCUUGAGAGAACUCGGGUGAAGGAACUAGGCAAAAUGGUGCCGUAACUUCGGGAGAAGGCACGCUGAUAUGUAGGUGAAGUCCCUCGCGGAUGGAGCUGAAAUCAGUCGAAGAUACCAGCUGGCUGCAACUGUUUAUUAAAAACACAGCACUGUGCAAACACGAAAGUGGACGUAUACGGUGUGACGCCUGCCCGGUGCCGGAAGGUUAAUUGAUGGGGUCAGCGCAAGCGAAGCUCUUGAUCGAAGCCCCGGUAAACGGCGGCCGUAACUAUAACGGUCCUAAGGUAGCGAAAUUCCUUGUCGGGUAAGUUCCGACCUGCACGAAUGGCGUAAUGAUGGCCAGGCUGUCUCCACCCGAGACUCAGUGAAAUUGAACUCGCUGUGAAGAUGCAGUGUACCCGCGGCAAGACGGAAAGACCCCGUGAACCUUUACUAUAGCUUGACACUGAACAUUGAGCCUUGAUGUGUAGGAUAGGUGGGAGGCUUGGAAGUGUGGACGCCAGUCUGCAUGGAGCCGACCUUGAAAUACCACCCUUUAAUGUUUGAUGUUCUAACGUUGACCCGUAAUCCGGGUUGCGGACAGUGUCUGGUGGGUAGUUUGACUGGGGCGGUCUCCUCCUAAAGAGUAACGGAGGAGCACGAAGGUUGGCUAAUCCUGGUCGGACAUCAGGAGGUUAGUGCAAUGGCAUAAGCCAGCUUGACUGCGAGCGUGACGGCGCGAGCAGGUGCGAAAGCAGGUCAUAGUGAUCCGGUGGUUCUGAAUGGAAGGGCCAUCGCUCAACGGAUAAAAGGUACUCCGGGGAUAACAGGCUGAUACCGCCCAAGAGUUCAUAUCGACGGCGGUGUUUGGCACCUCGAUGUCGGCUCAUCACAUCCUGGGGCUGAAGUAGGUCCCAAGGGUAUGGCUGUUCGCCAUUUAAAGUGGUACGCGAGCUGGGUUUAGAACGUCGUGAGACAGUUCGGUCCCUAUCUGCCGUGGGCGCUGGAGAACUGAGGGGGGCUGCUCCUAGUACGAGAGGACCGGAGUGGACGCAUCACUGGUGUUCGGGUUGUCAUGCCAAUGGCACUGCCCGGUAGCUAAAUGCGGAAGAGAUAAGUGCUGAAAGCAUCUAAGCACGAAACUUGCCCCGAGAUGAGUUCUCCCUGACUCCUUGAGAGUCCUGAAGGAACGUUGAAGACGACGACGUUGAUAGGCCGGGUGUGUAAGCGCAGCGAUGCGUUGAGCUAACCGGUACUAAUGAACCGUGAGGCUUAACCUUACAACGCCGAAGCUGUU
rnacentral:rRNA from 1 species